rnacentral:rRNA from 1 species
GGGGGAAUAUUGGGCAAUGGGCGAAAGCCUGACCCAGCAACGCCGCGUGAGGGAAGAAGGGUUUCGGCUCGUAAACCUCUGUCCUAUGGGACGAAGGAAGUGACGGUACCAUAGGAGGAAGCCCCGGCUAACUACGUGCCAGCAGCCGCGGUAAUACGUAGGGGGCGAGCGUUGUCCGGAAUGAUUGGGCGUAAAGGGCGCGUAGGCGGCCUGGUAAGUCUGGAGUGAAAGUCCUGCUUUUAAGGUGGGAAUUGCUUUGGAUACUGCUGGGCUUGAGUGCAGGAGAGGAAAGCGGAAUUACCGGUGUAGCGGUGAAAUGCGUAGAGAUCGGUAGGAACACCAGUGGCGAAGGCGGCUUUCUGGACUGAAACUGACGCUGAGGCGCGAAAGCGUGGGGAGCAAACAGGAUUAGAUACCCUGGUAGU